UACAGAGGUCCCAAGCGUUGUUCGGAUUCACUGGGCGUAAAGCGCGCGUAGGCGGCCCGGUAAGUCCGUUGUGAAAGUCAAAGGCUCAACCUUUGGACGCCGAUGGAUACUGCCGGGCUAGAGUCCGGAAGAGGCGAGUGGAAUUCCUGGUGUAGCGGUGGAAUGCGCAGAUAUCAGGAGGAACACCAAUAGCGAAGGCAGCUCGCUGGGACGGUACUGACGCUGAGGCGCGAAAGCGUGGGGAGCGAACAGG
rnacentral:rRNA from 1 species